CUCAAACUGGUAAUAUAUAUCGUGUUUGGAUGGAAGGGAAAUUGGGGAGUAAAGUGCUGAUGGAUCGACAAAAAGCUUGGCAACUGAAACUAAAAAUCGAUAAACCAGUGACAAGAAAUAUGAAAGUAUGUUCCCUGCAUUUUAUCGAUGAUGAUUAUUUUAUCGAGAUUCCAGUUCUACACAGAAAGAAUGUUUGAAAAAGACUGCUGUGCCUUCCAGAAAUCUUUCUGUUGGAUCCACUACCACAAAGGAAGGACCUGAAUGUUCUAGUAGUAGAUCUGAAAGAUUGAAUCAAAGAAAUA